GUAAGGCUAGAAUAGCGAUUGGGGAUACUACUGGCGCCCUCGCAGAUGUCGAGGAAGCGAUAAGGAUAGCUCCCAAAUUUCCUCAGCACAAGCAUGGCCAUCCACCAACAUGCAAAACAAGUUCAAGACCAAAAAUAUGUGUUUCUUGCUGUUUACUCAACUGAACCAGAUUUGGGUUUUCAAGUUCCAAGUUUGUGACAUACUUCUGCUGUUGAUUGAUUGCUCUGAAGUCUGAACUUCAUGGAGACCGUUUCGACAAAUGAGGACACCGGCAAGGGGGCGAUGUGGGAGCUGGAAAAGAGCCUUGAUCAGCCCAUGGACACAGAGGCCGGGAGACUGAGGAAUAUGUACAGAGAAAAGACCUACCCAACAGUUUUGAUGCUACAACUAGCUUUCCAAUGCCUUGGUGUGGUGUUUGGAGAUUUAGGCACAUCACCUCUUUAUGUUUUCUACAACAUCUUUCCUGAGAAGAUAGAAGACACAGAGCAAAUUAUUUCUAGCUUGCUCC